rnacentral:tRNA from 1 species
GGAACUGUAGCUCUGCUGGUAGAGCACCUGGUUGAAGCCCAGGGUAUCGUUGGUCCGAUUCCAACCGGUUCCGCCA